rnacentral:rRNA from 1 species
GACGAACGCUGGCGGCGUGCUUAACACAUGCAAGUCGAACGGAAAGGCCUGCUUUCCCUUGUGGAUUGCGGGUACUCGAGUGGCGAACGGGUGAGUAACACGUGAGUGAUCUUCCCCCAACUUGGGUAUAAGCCUGGGAAACUGGGUCUAAUUCCCGAUAGUACUGCAGGGUGGUGCCUGUGGUGGAAAACGGUGUUCUAGUGGUUGGGGAUGAGCUCGCUGCCUAUCAGCUGGUUGGUGGGGUACUGGCCUACCAAGGCGGGGACGGGUAGCCAGCCUGAGAGGGGGGACGGUCACAUUGGGACGGGGGUCCGGCCCAGACGCGUACGGGAGGCAGGAGUGGGGAAUAUAGGACAAUGGGCGUAAUCCUGAUGCAGCGACGCCGCGUGGGGGACGACGGCGUUGGGGUUGUAUACUGCUGUGGACCACGAGGAAGCCACCUGGUUGGAAGGGUGGUGACGGUAGUGGUAGAAGAAGCACCGGCUAACUACGUG